CUUAGUUAUUUGCUUCUAACUCAUAGAAUGUACUGGAAGUCACAGUAUGUGACUUCUGAGGCUGGAUCACAACAGGCGCUAUUUCUGCCUUGCCUUCUUGGAUUGCUUUCAACAGGGGGUCACUCAUCACUGUGUUUCAGGACAUCCAAGCUGCAUGAGGAGAGGCUCACGUAGGGGGAAACCGAGGUUUGCAGCAGCGACUCGCCAGGCGUGUGAGUGAGCCAACCUGGAAGCAGAUCCUCCAGUUCCAGUGAAGUGUGUGGAUGACAUCAGCUCCAGCCUUCAUUUUGACCACAACUCAUGAGAUGCCCUAAGCCAG
rnacentral:lncRNA from 1 species